UCCUGGGGGCCUUUGCUCUGAGUUACCAUCUAAGCAUGGUUUUCAAAGCUCAAUGGGAAUUUCUGAAUUACUCAGCAGUCAUUACUGAAUUAUUCAGAGGGCUUUGAAUAUGCAGUGCCUCAAAGGUGUGGAGUAGUGUGACAUGAUUUAGAAAGUAGUAGUGUGGGAGUCCUAGAACCUAAGGUCCAAGGAAACACUGGUGGAAAACCAGUAUAAGGAGGUAGGAAAGGGACAGAACAUCAAAAGCUUUACACGCGGUUGGUCACUCAUCUUUGUGUUCUAGGACAAUGAUAGUUGAUGCAUGCUGUCUGGGUGUAAUUAUUAACAGGGCUCCCUUUCACUGUCAAAAAAGCCCUGGUUUGGACAAAUAAAUUACGUGGUCAGCGUAAUCCUGUGCUGUGAUGAGAAGAACCAGUGUCCACAGUUUAAUCAAUGACUAGGCUUUCACUCUGCAAUGAAACCAUGAAAAAAACAUAACUUUUUUUGAGAUGAGAAUAAAGAGAAAAAUAAGAAUGAAGGGAAUUAUUUCUGGGUAACAGCUCAUGAUUCGUACCUAGCUUCUUGCAGUAAAUGAAAAUGUGAUGGAGGUUACUACCGAACGCAGAAAGGAAGAAAAAGUGGGAAGUGGUUUAGGAGAAGCGAGGGCUGCAAGAACUGUUUUGCAACGUGUGUGAAGAGCAAACGGAGGGGCGGACAACUCCAGUGUCAUUGAACACAACCCAGUUCUCCAGCCACCCGGGACUGUUCUGAUACUAACCAGAACUGUGAACUCCUGUGACAGGCAGUUGACUGGAAGAUGGGCCAGGAGAAAGGCAGGUGUGGGCUGUUUUGCAUUAUGAGUGAACAUUGCACGCUUUUGCCAUACCCUUGGGUAAGUGCUUACAUGUUCAGAACUGGGUAAAUAGAAAUGCAUUAGACAAGAACAGCGGUGACUUAUGUUUUGUUUUUUUUUUCACCAAAUUUAAAUGUUUGGCAAAGAAUUUGUUGAUUUGAAGGCUUAAGACUUAAAUCAUUAAGCAGUCAAGGAUGGAAGAAGUUGGCUUUAUCAUCACAGAGAAUACUACAGAUGGACUAGAGGUACUCCUGUCUUUACAGUACUGAAUCAGAAGGGCUAUAUUCAAAAAAUGUUUUUUAUAUUUAUUCAUUUUUUUUAAGAGACAGAGAGUGAGAGAGCAGGGGAGGGACAGAGAGAGACACACACACACAGAACCUGAAACAGGCUCCAGGCUCUGAGCUGUCAGCACAGAGCCCGAUGUGGGAUUCGAACUCAUAACCCUGAGAUCACGUCUGGAGCAGAAGUCAGCCACUUAACCAACUGAGCCACCCAGGCACCCCGGGGUGUAUUUAAAGUAGGGCCAGUUUCAUAGGUAGCUGGGGUGAUGUCAUCAUAUGGAUUUAUUGAAAGGUCCGCCUUACCUAUGACAAGGUACUAAUCUUACCCACCUUCUUUGGCAGCUAUCCAUGCUUAUCUAAGCAAUUGUAGUGUU
rnacentral:lncRNA from 1 species